GGGCGAAUAGCUCAGCGGAAGAGCGCUUGCCUUACAAGCAAGAGGCCACAGGUUCGAACCCUGUUUCGCCCA
rnacentral:tRNA from 1 species